rnacentral:lncRNA from 1 species
GGAACGCCUGGCAGGUGUGCGAUGCCCCUGCACCCCCCCCAGGCCUGGAGCUGUCCCCAUGGGGUGGGGUGGGGGGGCUGAGGCGGGAGGUUAGGAGGUUAGGAACGCGCGGCAGGUGUGCGGCGCCCCUGCAUCCCCCGCCCCCGCCCCCAGGCCUGGAGCUGUCCCCACGGGGGGGGGGGGGCUGAGGCAGCAGGUUAGGAGGUGAGGAACGCCUGGCAGGUGUGCGAUGCCCCUGCACCCCCCCAAGGCCUGGAGCUGUCCCCAUGGGGUGGGGUGGGGGGGCUGAGGCGGGAGGUUAGGAGGUUAGGAACGUGGGGCAGGUGUGUGGCGCCCCUGCAUCCCCCCGCCCCCCGCCCCCAGGCCUGGAGCUGUCCCCACGGGGGGGGGGCUGAGGCAGGAGGUAAGGAGGUGAGGAACGCAGGCAGAUGUGCGGCGCCCCUGCACCCCGCCCCCCAGGCUUGGAGCUGCCGGUACAGGGGGGCCUGAGGCAGGAGGUUAGGAGGUGAGGAACGCAGGCAGGUGUGCGGCGCCCCUGCAAUCCCCCCCCUCCCCAGGCCUGGAGCUGUCCCCAUGGCGGGGGGGGGGCUGAGGGGGAGGUUAGGAGGUUAGGAACGCGCGGCAGGUGUGCGAUGCCCCUGCACCCGCCCCCCCCACCCCCCCAGGCCUGGAGCUGCCCGCACGUGGCCGAGGCGGGAGGUUAGGAACGUGCAGCAGGUGUGCGGUGCCCUCUCGCCCUCCCCCCCGGCCUGGACCUACCCGCACGCGCCCCAGGCGGAGGUUAGGAACGCGGGCAGGUGUGCGCCCCCCCCCCGGCCGACCGGGCGGGCACUCACGUCUCCGCAUCGCCGGCUGUCCGCCGCCAGGCUGCUGCUGGCCGUCUUGGUGGCCGCGUCGCUGGCAGCCUUGGAGCAGGCGCUGAGGACCUGCUUGCUUCAGGUGAAAGAGUCAUUUGAAAGAAGGAUUUUCAUCUCUCCAGAAGAUAUAUUGCACGGUGAUUUGCUGGCCAAACAAGCUGCUCUUCUCAAAGGUAAUAUCCUACAGGUUUACCUCACACAGACACUGCUCUGUUGGAACUGCCUGAUGGUAGCUUACAAAAAGUGGUGCCACCUUCCAGGAAUCCACAAGGGAAGCAGAGCAGGAAACGAGUAGAGAAGCAAGGAGCCGACUCAGCAUCAGCCUCUGAGUUGGGCAACUUAUCAGUUAUAAAAUAAAAAGACUCAAAUGUGAGAUGAGAAACGGUAUACGAUGUUCAAGGGAAUGAGAGGACACUCAAGUAAUGGGAGUUAAAUGAGAAGGAUCGAAACAAGAGGAGCUUGCAAGUGUGUCACCUAGAACUGCAGUGACUACUGACUUGUCUGCCUGAAUUACAAGUAAGAUAUAUUUAUUUUGAUCAGAUUUAAAGAUUUAUAUGUACUAGUUUGAAAUGAUUUUCCCACAAUUAUUGCUUAAUGAAAUAAUGUGUUUGAUAGAUGCUGUAUUCGAUGUAUCCUGCAUUUGAGCCUCUAAACAAAACAACGUAAUAAAUAAAUAUUGUUUAUGCUGCUCAAAUAUAUUAAUUCAUGGAAUAUAAGUAUCUGUGAUAUUAAUGGAUUCUAUAAGGGUGAUGAAUAGGACUUAUCACAGUACAAUGAAUUCUCUCCUCGCCAUUUCUUAUAUCUCUAAUCGUGCAGGGCCCUCUAAAGAUCAAAAUGGUGAGAAAAAAGGAGAGAAACAAAGAUAUUUCAGAUUUAAUUAGGGAUGAGUCUGUAUAAAGUAUUAAUUUACUCCUGCUCCUGAACUCUCCACCAGCAGUGUUGAUUUUCAACUCAAACCGAUGAUGAUUGCAAAUAAGACCCCUAAGUGUUCCUAAUUCUGCUCUUAAUAAUAGAUGACAAAGCCUUCUGUCAUUGGACAUCGAAAUUUACUUGUUUGGGGUUUUCCAAUGAUUGAAUUUUCAUAUGAGGAUAUAACUCAUAUUCCAUAAACCACAGCUGUAGGGCAGGAGCCUUUACAUCAGGCUGCACCCCAUUUACAGCAAAAGUAAAAGUCUGAAUUUCACUAAUGCGAAAGAUAGCGAACCAUACGGCUUGUGGUAUUGGGCUACAGAUCCCCUCGUCAAAAUAAAGAGUUGUAUCAAGAAAAUUGCAAUUCUUGUAAGUCUGAAAUUCAGGUUGUUUUAUUAAUAAGAAACAAUUGCAGUUGGUGUAUCUUUAGUUAGAAAGUCCACAACAAAAUUAAGGUAAAAUAAACUAUCAAGUCAGCCAAAAAUUAGUAUUAAGGCGCGUAGUUAAGAAGAUGAUAAUGUGAAAUGGUUAUAUCUUUAUAAGAGAAUGAAUAGGGCUUAGAAACGCUAUUUUAUGGAGUUAGAAACACUCCAUAAAUAUGUAUUACUGAUCUAAAUAUUUAGGCAAAAUUGAUGAAUAGUUUAUCUAAAUUUUCUCAUUAAAAAUGCUUUGUUUUGCUACCAUAGUGGUUGGUAAAGCACUCUAUUAUUUUCUUUGAAUCUGAUCCCUGUAGUACUAUCUAUGUUUUGGUGUGGAAUCUGAUUUAAAUGUAUGCUCAAUUUCUUUGUUCCCAAAUAUCAGUUCUAUGCCGAACGCUUUCACAAUUGUUCAAACUUCAUAUUACCUCGGCCUUAAUUUAUUUUCUUUAUAUCCACUUAUUAGUCUAUGUAAUAUGUUUUGUUUAAAAGGCAAUAAUAUCAUGGCAAAAAGAAAACCGG